GUAUUUGGAAGCAGGGGUUAAUUAAUGACACCUUCUUGCAGUCGGACGCUAUCAAUUUUCUUUGGAUUCUACUUGCUUAGGAAGCCCAUGAAGAUUUUCGGGUUUGGGGUGGGGAGCCUUCGGGGGAGUUUUCAGUUUGCAAUGCCUACAAACUAUUACAAAACAAUUUGAAAAACCCUACUGUUUAUGCAUUACAGACCAGAUCUAGAGCUUUUUACAAAUAUUUGUGGAACCUAAACCUCCCAGGGAAAAUUAAAAUAAAAAUUUGGAGGAUUUCUUGGAACUAUCUACCUACGCUAACUAAUUUCAAGUGUAAGCAGUUGGCCAUUAAUUUCUGUUGCCCUCGGUGUAGAAAUGUGAAGGAAUUCGAUGAAACAUUUGUUUCAACAUUGCCCUACAUCAGUUGAAGUUUGGUCAGAACUAAAUUGUUUGCAAUUUUUGAACAAUCAGGAUAUGGAGUUUGCAUAUUGGCUUACCUGGGUUUUUGAGACUUGUUCCAACCACUAGAGGAAGUUGUUCUGUUGUGCACUUUGGGCUAUCUAGAAAGACAGAAACAGGGGGAUCCGUGAUAGAAAACUUAUUACUGGCAAGUACAGUGUAAUAUUUGUUCUUAUCUAUUUAGAUGAACUCAAAAGUUUAGAGGAAAAUACCUGCACUAAGAAGAGGGAGGCUGUGAGUUGGAACGUCCCUUCAAGAUCUGUCAUCAAAAUCAACUUUGAUAGUGCUUUUGAUGGUAGAAUUUUUCGAUUGGUGUCAAGUAUGGUCACUAGGGAUGAAAGAGUUGUUAUGAUGUUCACUCGUACGAGUUUCCAUGAAGGUGUAGUUUUUGCUUUUGCUGCUAAAGCUUUAGCUUGUCAACUUCCAGUGAGAACGGGUUUUGAUAAAGGGUGGGGCUAAGUUAUUAUCGAAGGGGACUUAUUAACAACAGUAAAGAGAUGUAAGUCUCUGAAACUCGAUAAAUCUCAGAUUGGAGUUUUCAUAAGAAAUAUUCAAUAGAUGAAGAGAAAUUUCCAAGGAAUCAAUUUCAAUCAUGUUCCUAGAUCAGCAAACAAAUAACUUAUGCUUUGGCAACAGAAAUGCUGAAAAGGGGGAAUUCGGUUUACUUGGAAGGGAACGCAACCUUGCUUGUGGAUCCAAUAACAACAAUGGGGAGACCAACAGAACCAAAUUGAUGGAAAAGGGAAGUUUGGAAAAUGGGGGAAAGGAGUUUUAUCUUUGAAGGUUUUAUCUGCUUUUUUUUGGAGGCCU
rnacentral:lncRNA from 1 species